CUGGCUGAUUGGAUGAGAGACACCUUGUAAUUGCUCUGAAUAAAGGACAAGUUCAAGCCUAGCCUUGCCUGCUGAGACCAGAGACCACUUCAGUACACCCUACUGGCAGAGACAUAUAUCUUGGAGCUUGUUCUUGAGACAAGUGGGGAAGCUGAAUAUGGGGAACCCAGCAGGCACCAUCGUGUCUCCUUUGUACCACUCAGCAGCUUUCUGCAACACAGAGACAAGAAAUGGAAGAGGAACUGGCAUAUGGCCAGGGGAUUGCAAGGACCUACUAGAACAAGCAGUUGUUCUCUUCUGGGCAAGUUUUCUUCUGGUGACUUCACAUAUCAUAGUGGAGAUGGCCCACGAGGAGACAAAGCAGGUACUCAAAGGUCAACAGAGGAAGAUGAUGUCCAAGAGCUGGGUACAAGACACGAGGCUGGAAGUUCAGAAGUUUAUCAGGAAAGACAUUGCAUUGGGAACUGACUCCUAAAUGUAUUUGUGCAUUAUAUUAACCAGUCAUUCAGUAAAAUAUUGAAAUAGUCAUUUCAAAUAAGGACUCCAGAAGAAAUCUCUCUCUCAGGAGCUGGAUUUCAGGAGAAGGCUAAGGACAGUGAUCUCUCACCAAGAAAAUGAAAGCCUCUCUCCAGGGGUAUGAGAGGUGCUGCUGCAGCUCCAAAAAGGGUUUAAAUGUAAGAUAGCAGCAUGUUCAGUACUGCCUACUGAGUAGCAUAGAGCUGUCUGCUAAUCUCUGGCAAUUUCUCAGCAUUUGUCAGAGUCAUGAUUUAUUGAGCAGUGAGAGUGUUCCUCACCUUGCAAGAUCAGGUCCCUAGAUUGUAACACAUUUUCUUGUUCACCAAAAAGGCUCAUCCACAACUAAGAAAUUAAAGAAACAGAGAAUUAUUCUGUUACACCAGAAACAAUGAAGGAAAAACUAUGUGUAAGCCUUGGCAAAACAUCUCUAAGCAGCACUUUGAGCUUGCAGCACAGCCCAGCCAUAUUUCAGAGCCAAAGAGAAGAUAUUUUUUGUACUAAUGUGCAUCAGGCUGAGACUGGGACCCAGAAAUUGCUGCAAAUACUCAGCUCCUGAAGGCUGUAUAAACCCAGUGGGAUCCUGCUGUGCUUGAGAGGAAAGAGGGCUGAAAUCUAAGUAAUGGCCAAAGUCCAGAUUUUGAAAGAAAAAGGAUUAAUGAAGUCUGCUAUAGUAGUGUACCUGUGAUAACAUCAUAAUUAGAGAUUAAUAACAACCACUUCAUAAAGUCUGACACACUUUUGUGUUCGUUAGUACCAUUGCUGUAUCGAGUGAGCUUUCGAUGCCUUAGAAUAAAAGUGUAUGUCAGAGUGAACUAGAACAGAUUUCCUGAGACCAUAAGUUAGCAAAGUCACUGACACUACAGACUCGGAAUGACUCUCUGGGUCAUACACUCAAAUGGCCAAUUUCUUAUAUAGAAUAAUGGCACACUGAAUAGAUGCUACUGUGUUUUCCUGAUCAGACCAGACCAUCACAAACCUCUCUGUGAGUUUAGGUUGCACAAGCUGAUUUUUAAGCUCCCCUGAGAGCAGCAAGUUUGAAACUUCAGCUGAUUUUUCUUUAAACCACUCCAACUGUUUUUUUCUUGUCUGAUACCUCAAAGCGACUGAAUUGAUUCUUCUGAAAUUUUGCAUUAAUGCUUGUUUCUAAGCUUGUCAAGCAUGAGAAGAAAGAAACAUAUCAGUGGAGUGAAGCAGAGCCUUAUCCUCUAGCUGUAUCACUAGAGCAUGAUGAAUUGGUGUUUAACAAAAUUCCUUAAUGCUACAGGCAAUGACACAAUUAAACCCUAAUCUUGCUUUUUCUGUUACUUUUUUUUUUUCCUGUACAAGUAAGAAACUUAGAAAUAGCUAUAACUGUUAUGUUGUUCCCAACCCCCAGUGAUAGUCAGUUCUUUAGUGAGGUAUGACUAUACCUACAUUAUGUGUUGAAUUGUUCUGGGACAGUCUAAAGCUCGAAGGAGAAAAGUAACAUCUCUAGUUUUCAAGGAAGUAAUGCUUGAAGACAUUAACUUCCCUUAUAUUGAUGUGGCUAGGCUGAAAUCUUCAGUAGACUCAUGGAUUUUUAAUUCAAUUCUUUGCCCCUUUGAAGCAUUUGGCAUUGGCUGCUCUUGGAAACAGGAUAUUGUACUAGAUGAGCUACUGUUGCAGUCUCUGUGUUCCCAAUUUUUUACUUUUUGAAGAGGAUUUUGGGGUUGAAUGUGACUUGUAUUCAAAUAAGUGUGAUGUUUCUGCCCCCGUAGUAAAUGAUGGAUUCAGGUAAAAUAUAUUAAAAGUAACAAACAAAAUAUGGCUUAGGUGCUUCUGAUGUGUAGAUUAUAAAUGUGAUAUUUAUCUCCAAAGAAAAUAAGCACUUUCAAGUGAUUUGAUUUUGAAGGAUAUGAGAACAAUAGUGAGUUACUAACCACAAAGUUUCUUAUACUGUCUGCCUGGUUAAGAAAUAUUGGUUUGACAAGAUAGUCCCAUGGUGUAUACUUUCUAAAAUUAAAACCAUGGCUAAAAUAAAAUGAAACUUACACAGACCAAAAUAAAAUGGCUCAGUGUCCAUUACUACGCUUGCUAAAAAUAGGGAAUAAACAACAAUUACUGCAAAAUCUAAAGGCAGGAUUGUUCAUUUAUUUAUCAGCUACAAAAAACACAGCAUUAUCAAAUCUAGUACUAAACACUGUGUUUUCAUAUUCACUCUACUAAUGUGACAAGGAUCACUGAAACUGUAGAGAGACAGAUUUAAGUAAAAUUUGGUGAUGACCAGAAGCAUUGCUGUAAUUAAAUUGACAUUAAUACUAGCAGUUGAGAAAGUCACAGAAUUACAACACUGGGUUAUUUGGCUCUGUUACUUUCACUUUUUAUAAGGAUUCCCGUUAAUUAGAGACAAUGUUUAGAUAAACAGUCUAAGUGAAAGUGACAAUAUUUCAGGACUGAAAUC